rnacentral:rRNA from 1 species
UACGGGGGGGGCAAGCGUUGUUCGGAAUUACUGGGCGUAAAGGGCUCGUAGGCGGCCAACUAAGUCAGACGUGAAAUCCCUCGGCUUAACCGGGGAACUGCGUCUGAUACUGGAUGGCUCGAGUUUGGGAGAGGGAUGCGGAAUUCCAGGUGGUAGCGGUGAAAUGCGUAGAUAUCUGGAGGAACACCGGUGGCGAAGGCGGCAUCCUGGACCAACACUGACGCUGAGGAGCGAAAAGCCAGGGGAGCAAACAGG